CUUCAUAUUUGAUUCCCUUUUAGUCGAUCAGAGAUCGCUGUUUGUUUUUUUGGAUUUUUUGUAAGGUUUGUUUUCUCUUCUCGUUUCUCCGUAAAUAUUCAUCAAAGGUACCAGGAUUAUAAUUAAGUACGCCAGACGCGCGUUUCGUCUACAUAAUCCUCUUCUUUAUUCUCAAUUUAAUAAAAAAAAAAAUCCAUGUCAUUUGGACUUUGGUAGAAAGUUGUAUCAUUUCCAAUCAAAUAAAUUGCAAGCAUUAAAUCCAAUAGUGAUCACUAGUAUAAUUUUUAAUUUUUUUUUUU
rnacentral:lncRNA from 1 species